UACGGAGGGAGCUAGCGUUGUUCGGAUCUACUGGGCGUAAAGGGCGCGUAGGCGGCCACCGCAAGUCGACUGUGAAAUCUCCGGGCUUAACCCGGAAAGGUCAGCCGAUACUGCGGGGCUAGAGUGCAGAAGGGGCAACUGGAAUUCUCGGUGUAGCGGUGAAAUGCGUAGAUAUCGAGAGGAACACCUGCGGCGAAGGCGGGUUGCUGGGCUGACACUGACGCUGAGGCGCGAAAGCUAGGGGAGCGAACGGG
rnacentral:rRNA from 1 species